GAGGAGGAAUGAAGGGAGGGGCAGGGAGCGAGGGGGAAAGAGCCCGUCGGGAACCCUGAAGGGUGAAUUGGUGCGGCGACUGCGUCUGGGGCGGGGGCGGUGUCCGGAGGCGCAUGCGCCUGGGGCGCUCUGCGAAGCACCAACUCUAACUCCGGUCUCGUUUGGCUCACGGGAAGUGGCCUCCCUCUAGUCUCGCUUUUCCGGUGAUGGUCGGGAAGAAGUGACUCCAAGGGCCGAGCUGAGGAACCGCGGGGGCCUGCUCCGGGGCCACAGAUUGGAACUAAAGGGGCCUUUGAAAUCUUCCAGUGCAGCCUCUGCCCCCUCGUCACAGAUUAGGAAACUGAGGCAACAAGGGGGCAGAGACGCUAAACGCACAAUGAGCACGUGUGCCGGUGGCGUGGGAAGGGGGGGGGCGGGGAGAUGGGAGGCUGCCCUCCUUUGGUUUUCGUCGGGUCCUUCUGGGCGGGGUUGUCCGGAGACACAACUACGGAACCCAAGAGUAACCGGAAGUCGGAGCACUUGACGGAGGUGGGAGAGGGAGGAUUAUGGUUCCUCUACUGAAAGUAGUAAGGAAGUUGAAGCGACCUUUUGAUCUGAUGUUGGUUAAGCUGCCAGAUCAUCUGAAAGUCCUCUUAUGGUUGGUGUUGUCAAAAGAAGCCCUCUUCAAAUGUAGCUUCAACUAAAAUUAGGCCAGGAAUUGUGGUACAUGCCUAUAGUCCCUGAUGCUUGAGAGGCUGAGGCUGGUGAACCACUUGAGAUCAGAAGUUCUGAACUGAAGUAAAUUAAGUUGAUCAGGUACCUGAACUAAGUCCAAAAGCAAUAUGUGAGCUUCUGAGAGCUACUAGGCUGCCUAAGGAAGGUAAGCUAUUCCAGGUCAGAAAUGGUGGAGGUCAAACUUACCGCAGCUUGUUGAGUGAUGUGUGGCUGCACAUUUCUACCUUUGGCAAGAUAUG